CCAUCUGACCAAUACUAACCACGAGGACACAAUUAUAGCAAACUAAAAAUAACUUACUAAUUAAAGCAUAAUGCAAAGCACACUUAAAAUUCUUAAGGUUCUCAAAUGUACUGCUUUGCCAUGAGGCAAAGAGCAUUUUUCUUGUGGAUGGCAAGGCCUGGUACCACUUCCAUGUCCAAGUCUUCAUUGCUCAUUCCAAAAGGCAUCUCCCAAUCAAAUUUGUAAAGCAAAUUAGCAAGAGCUAACUUCACUGUUGGAAGUGCUAUACUUACACCAGGACACAUUCUUCUCCCACCUCCAAAUGGGAUUAGCUCAAAAUUUUGUCCUUUCAAGUCAACAGAACUGUUGAUGAAUCUCUCAGGACAGAACUCUUGUGCAUUUUCCCAAACUUGUGGGUCUCUUCCAAUUGCAUAUGCAUUCACAUAAACUGUAGUUUUUGCUGGGAUUUUGAACCCAUCUAAAUUGCAAUCCUCAGUUGUUUCUCUUGGGAUUAUGGGAAAUGCAGGUUGUAAUCUCAUUGUCUCUUUCACCACAGCUUUCAGAUAAGAUAGUUCUUGGAUUUCAUCUUCAUUUACAAAACCUUUGUUUCCAACUAAACCUCUGACUUCUUCUUGAGCUUUCUUCAUUUUUGUAGGAUUCUUCAUCAGGAAUGUCAUGGCCCAAAUCACAGUUGCUGCAUUAUUGUCUGUUGCUCCAAUAACUAUAUUCUGCAACAUUUGGAAAAAAAAUAAUAAAAAAAAGAAGAAAUGUAUUAUUUAAUGAACUCAAACAGUGUAUAAAAAUUUUUUUUCAUUAAAAAAUAAUAUAAUAAUAACCAUUAACACUGCUUUGAUGUGAUUAAAUGUGACUUUAAACUUGAGAGAAGUAUCAUUCCGGAGUUUAAGUAAGCCAUCAAGAAUAUCUUCUGAAUGAUCAUCAAGCUCUGAUCUAUCAUAAUCAAGGUGUUCUUGGAUAAUCUUGUCAUAGAAAAUGUCAAAUUCUUGGAAAUUUUUUUCCAAGCGAUGGAUCAAUCCAGUGAGUUUAUCAACAAAACCCAGGAGAGGAAAAUAGUCUGAAACGAAGAAGCUCGUGAAAAGGGUCUCAGCUUCUAUAUGUAAAGCUUGAAAUCUACUAUUUUCUUUCUUGUACCUCUGCCCAAAAGUAAUCUUACUGAUUAUAGUAUUUGCAAGAGACAUGAUAGCCUCAGUGAUAUCUACAGGUCGGGAAGCAGAAGCUAAACCGCAGAUCUCCCCAAGCAUAUGGGAAACUUCAGAUUCUCUAAUGGGACGGAAACUUCUGGCUCUAUUGGAGCUAAAGAGAUGAACUUUACAUAUUUUCUUCAUCUCUUUCCAAUAAGAACCAUAAGCUGCAAAGCCUAUGUCUAAGCCAUUGUAGGACAACUUCUGCUGGCUAUGCUUGGAAGGCCUGGCAGAAAAAAUGUGGUCAUGGGUUUUCAUUAUUUCUUUAGCCAUUUUGGCUGAGGAAACAACUAGAACUGGUUCAAAGCCCAUGCGCAAAGACAUUAGAGGUCCGUACUUCUGAGAAAGUUUCCAUAGAGAGAUAAAAGAGGCUGAGUUAUGAAGUUGAUGCAAGUUGCCUAUGAAGGGAAGAGCUCGAGGACCUGGUGGGAAAUGAGGAUCUGUUUUUGUUUUGCGAUUUCGGAGAAGAAACAAGAGGAAGCUUAGGACAACUAAUGCAAGGAAGACAAGUGAAACCAUUGUAGCUUGUGAACUCAAUAACGUCCCAAGAGUUUGACAAAAGCUUUUCCUAACACUAAUGGUUUGGUGUUUCUGUGUGCAUCUCCCACUGAUUUAUAAGGUUGAAAUUGGUUGAGUUAAUAAAUAGAACAGUCACUGUUAUGUCUUCUAUUGUUUUAAAAUAUAUUAAAAUAUUUUUUAGAUAUUAAAAAAUCUAUUAAUUGAUUAUUAUGUUAAUUUUAGCUUUCAACUAUUUUACUAUUUAUAAUUCGUGUAAUAUGAAAAAAUUUAUUAAUUUAUUAAAAUUAAUAAAAUUAUUAAAAUUUUAAUAUUGCAGAAAAAGAAAAAACAUGUUAAUUAAGAGUGCAAAUGGAUGACAUAGCAUAAUUAAGGGAAUAUUGCAUGCCUUCCAAAAAGAGGGGGACAAAAUUGUACCUUAUAUUCCAGUGCAUCAAAACCCUUGCAAAUGAACUCAAACAAAUAAAUAUUUAUAAUAAUUUAUAUUUAUAUGAAAUAUUUUAAAUUUUUUAUAAUAAAUUAAUUUUUUUAAAUUUAUCACAGUAUAACUAAGACUAUUGAAUUAAAUUUAUAUAAAUUAUCGAUAAAUUAUAAUUUGUUAACUAAUUUUUAAAUAAUGAACUUAGGUGACUAUUAUUUCUAAAAUUUAGAGUAAAAAUUUUAGAAAUAAAUUAAUAAAUUAAUUUAAAAUUUUUUCAAAUAAAUAUAUAAAAUAUUAAUUUAUACUUUUAAUUUUAUAAUAAUAUAUAUUAAAAAGGAGACUGAAAGGAAAGGGAAGGGAAGAGGCCAGGCGACAAUUUCUUUUUUCAAAUAUAAAUAAGUUAAAUUAAAUAUUUGUAAAAAAUUAAAUAAGUCUGAUAUAAUUUUUAGACAAAUAUAUAUAUACGCACUCACAGAUUUAAUUUGAUAAUAAAGUAUAUCUUAAUAAAUCUAAGAGAUCUCAUAAUUUUCAGUCUUUUAUUUCAAAUAUAUAUAUAUAUAUAUUUAUUUAAAAUUAAAUAAGUUCUCAUAUAAUAUAAUAUAUUUUUUAAUAAUAAAAUAUUAAUAAAAUUAUAAUCAAUAAUUUUAAAAUUACAAAAGUGAAAUUUUAUUAUAAAACAUAUUUAAAAAUAAUAUUAUAUUAAAUCUUACCUUAUUUUAAAUUUAAAAAAGUAUAAAGAUUUUAAUUCAACUUUUUUUCAUAUUAAAAUUAGCACGUGAGAAUUUUUUUUUGGUUCCAUAUUGCAUAAAGUGACAGCUUAACCACUGUCCACACUCUUCAAUGGAAGAUAACGGUUCCGACAUUUUAUCGUUUACAAUAGUCGAUAUUUCAUAUGAUUAAUAAUUUAUUAAUUAUUUUAUAUAUAUUUUUUAUAAAAUUAGCCAAUGAGACGUCUUUGUUGUUCCUUACUAUGCAAAGUAAUAAUUUAACUAUUAUUCAUACUUUGUAAAAGACAUUUUUGGGCCACAUAUAUAAUUAAUGCUAUUUCACGUUUUCCUCAAGAUCUCUGUCUGUUUGUACGUCUGAAUUAAUCUUAUCUUUCUUUGUGGCUCAAAAUCAUUUAAAAAAUAUCAUUUAAACAUGGUUGAAAAAAGGCAGUUUAAAAAAUUAUAUUAUUAUUUUAAUAUUUUUAUAAUUAAAUUAUGUUAAAAAAUAAUUUUAAAUAAUAUAUUAAAAAAAUUUUUUUUUUUUGAUAGCAGUUUUACCAAUAAUACUAACAAACCUUUAGUUGCCGUAAAUGGUGACUGAAACGAAAAAUAAAAUAAAAUGAUAAAAUUUGAGUUGUGUUAAAUAUUGUUAUUAAAAAUUUAUUUUGUAAUUUUUUAAAAUUAAAUAAAUUUUUUUAAAUUUUAAUUUUUAGGAUUAGAAUAAUAAAAUUUAUUUUUAAUUUAUAACCUAAUAGAAAAGAGAGAAAAUAGAGAAUAAAGUAAAAAAAUAGAAUUCGUUAUCUUUAUAAAAAUGGAGACUAUUUAUAGUGAAAAAAUCGACCGUUAUAUAUGAUUAUAAAAAUCUUGAGAUAAUAUAAUAAAAUCAUAAUAAUUAGAUUUAAUAUUAUAUUUAAAUCUCAUAAAUAAAAUAUUUAAUCACUAUAAAAUUUUCAAUAACCAUAAAAUUUUUAAUGGCCAUAAAAUCUUUUGAAAUCUAAACUAAUUUUACAACAAUCACCUACACAUUUCAAAAGAUUUUUUAUUGCUGGAUUUAAAAAUUUAGUGUAUAUGUUUCAAAUCUAGUGUCUUUUACAUUAUGAACCAAAUCUAGAUUAAUAAGACUUAACAUAUAGAGUAAUUGGUGAAACUUUUGUUUCUAUGAACCAAAAACUCUUUUUUUUGUAUGCUAAUAUUCUAUCAAUCUCAUAACACUCCAUAUAUCUUGUUGUCAAUGCUGUUUUGCGCUAAUAGACCAUGCGUGUGCAUAGUAGUUUAUAAGUGCUAUAGAGAUUAUACCACAAUCUCAUAGAAACAGCCCCACUCCACACUUAUAUAGGUGAUAUCAUCAAGUGUAUACUGCAAUUUAUACAAUACCCAUAAGGGAUAUGAAUAUCAUUAAGAGUUUUCAUCUCAUCCUCUCAUUAAUGCAGUCUAGCACUUCUUACACUAUAGGAAUGGACAAUAAUAAAUAGUGCUAUCAAAACUAAUAAGUGACUUGUUAUUAUCCAUAUAAAUCUUUUUCAUGGGAUCUCCAAUCACAAAAGUUGGGUUUCCAUCACUGUAAAUUUCAAAGUGGCUCAAGUCACAUUCCUCUCGAUGUUUCAUCUAUUAGUUUUCUCUCUACAGGUUUGGUCAGGGGAUCGGCCAAAUUCACUUCUGACUUCACAUAAUCAAUGAAAAUAUUUUCAUCUUUCAGCAGCUGCUUAAUAACAUUAUGUCUCAGACGAAUAUGUCUAUUCUUACCAUUGAAAGUUUUAUUUUUUGCAAUAGUUAUUGCCGCUUGGCAAUCACAACGCAUUGAUACAGAUGGUGUUUGUUUUAUUCCCAACGGAAUAUUUGCUAAGAAGUUUCUUAGCUACUCAGCUUCAGUUCCAACUAAUUCCAGUGCAAUAAAAUCUGACUCCAUUGUGGAUUUAGCAAUGAUAUUUUGUUUGGUUGAUUUCCAUGUAAUUGCACUAUCUCCUAGAGUGAAUAUAUAGCCACUAGUGAAUUUUAUCUUAUCUGAAUCUGAAAUCCAGUUAGUAUCACUAUAUCCUUCUAAUACAGAGGGAAAUCCACUAUAUAAAAUAUCAUAAUUUAUGGUAUCUCUCAAAUAUUUCAUUAGUCUAACUAGUGCAGCCCAAUAAUCGUUAUUGAGAUUAUGUUUAUACCUACUAAAUCUACAUAUACCAUAUAAUGAUCUAAGAAGUUUGUAGACUUUAUUUUUUUGAUCAGAAAUAAUACAACCAUCAGGUUGUACCAUAUAAAUUUUGUUUUCCAAGAGUCCAUUUAAAAAAACUGUUUUAACAUUUAUUUGAUGAAUAACAAGUUUAUGUAUAAAAGCUAAAACAAUUAAUACUCUAAUAGAAGAAAUUCUAACUAUAAGAGCAAAUGUGUCAAAAUAAUCUAUAUUUUAUUUUUGAGAAAAACCUUUUGCUACUAACCUUACUUUAUACUUUUCAAAUAACCCAUCUAGAUUAUAUUUUCUUUUGAAAAUCCAUUUACAACCAAUAGGUUUAGCUCCUUGAGGCAAGUCUACUAAAGUCCAAGUAACAUUUUGAGUAAUAGAAUCAAUUUCAGCUUUAAUUAUUUUUUUCCAAAAAGGAGCUUCAGAAAAUAAGUGUAAAAGUCAUUUCCAAAAGAAGUCUCUUUUUUUUUUUGUCUUUUACUUCUUCUUAAAUUUUCAUUAUUAUUUUCAAAAUGAUUUUCAUUAGGUGCAUGGGAAAUUUUCUCAACUUUUAAAGGAAAAAUAUGUCCAAAAAAAACUCAGCUUUUUUUAUCUCAAUUAUAGAGUUACAAUCAAGCACAUCACUUUUCAAAACAAGAAAUCUAUAUGCAGCACUAUGUUCAACAUAACCUAUAAACAUGCAAUCAAAAGUUUUUGAACCUAUUUUUUGUUUCUUAAGAUCAGGAAGAAUUAUUUUAGCAAGACACCCCACACUUUUAAAUAUUUUAAAUUAGGUGUAUAACUUUUCAAAGUUUAUAGGAUAUUUUAUCAGUUUUAUUAUAGGAUAUCCUAUUUUAUAGAUGACAAGCAGAUAAUAAAAUUUCCUCCAAAGGUUAUUAGGUGAGGAAGUACUUAUUAAUAAAACAUUCAUCAUUUCUUUUAAUGCUCUAUUUUUCCUUUCCGCUACUCAAUUAGAUUCAGGUGAAUAGGGUGGAGUAAAUUCAUGAAUUAUUCAUUCUUUUUCACAAAAGUCAUUAAAUAAGAAAUAUUCUCUACUUCUAUCUGAAUUAAUCCUUUUUAUUUUCUUAUUUAAUUGAUUUUCUACUUCAACUUUAUAUAAUUGAAACACAUCAAAUGUUUCAUCUUUGUUUCUAAACAAAUAUAUUUUAGUACAUCUAGAAUAGUUAUCAAUAAAAGUCACAUAAUAUUUUUUAGAAAAAAUUACUUUUUAGUCCUUGAGAUUUAACGUAAUUAACACUUCUUUCCCUCUAUUUUGGCGACCCAACACUUAAGUCCCUCACUUUCUCUUCCGUCCAAAUUCAUAGUCCUUCAGUCCAUUUAAGCCGUUUGGUCAAAGAGUCAAAGCUGAGAAGUGAUAAUUUUUUCCAAAAAUACCCUCUUUUCAACGUGAAAUCCCUAUCUUUCUUCUCUUUCAUAUCUUCUCCAUUUUCUUUUAUCCAUUGUUAAUUUUCCUCUUUUUUUUUUCUCUCUCUUUUUUUCAUCUUUCUUUCUCCCUCAUAUUUUCUCUAUUUCCUUUUGACAUCGUUGAUUUUUUUUUUCUCUUUUUCAUCUUUUUUCUCCCUUAUAUUUUCUCUAUUUCUUUUUGAUAUUGUUGNNNNNNNNNNNNNNNNNNNNNNNNNNNNNNNNNNNNNNNNNNNNNNNNUUUUUCUUUUUUUUUUUUUCUCUUUUCCAUCUUUCUUCUCCCUGAAGCAUUAUUUGAGAGUUGCAAAAAGGGUAGGAGUUAUGGUGAAGAAUCUACAGUGAAGAGACAUUGAGUUUGGGUUUCAUGAUUUUGAAAUAGCCGGACUUUUAGUUAAGGAUUUUGAAAUAGUGAGACUUUUAGUGAGGGUUAAUUUUGUCAAUUCACGUAUCCCAAACGGCUACUUUGGACGGAAGGACUACGAAUUUGGACAGAAGAGAAAGUGAGAGACUUAAGUGUUGGGUCGCCAAAAUAGAGGGACAGAAGUAUUAAUUACGUUAAACCUCAGGGACUAAAAAGUAAUUUUCUCUAUUUUUUACCACCUCUAGUCAUAAUUUGUUUUAAAUCCCUUAAGUCUGUGUGUAUUAAACUAAGCAAUUCAGAUUCUCUAUGUGUAGUUGAAUAUGAUUUUUUUUGUUGACUUAGAUUCUACACAAAUCUCACAUUUAUUUAAAUAUGUAUUACCCGUGCCAUAUAUUAUACCAAAAUAUUGUAUUUUUUUUAAUAUAAGAAGCACUAACAUAUCCUAAUCUAGCAUGCCAUAAAUCAAAAGAAUCAAGCAAUAAAGUACAAGAAGAUACAUUUCCAUUUGUUAUUGUAGAAAUAUUGAGAAUAAAAAGUCUCUGAUUACAAUAACCUUUUCCAAUAAAAAUAUCAUUUUUAGUCAGUAUAAUUUUGUCUAACCCAAAAGACAUCUUAAUCUCAACCUUUCCCAAUAGAGCUAUAGAAAUUAAAUUACCUCUUAUAUUAGGUACAUGAAAUAUCUCAUUAAGUGUCAAGGUCUUGCCAGAUGUGAGUUUGAUAAGAACUUUCCCUUUACCAAGGACAUUAGUAGUCCUAGAAUUACCCAAGUACAUAUGUUCUUCUCCUUCUUCCACUAUAGAGUAAGAGGUAAACGCAUUUCUGUUUGUACAAAUAUACCUAGUCGCACCAAAAUCUACUACCCAUUAUUGCACAUUAACUACAAGAAAAGUUUGAGGAAUGACCGCAGCAAUAAUUUCAUCUCUUUCAACUAAAUUCACUUUUGGUUUAGAAGGAUUGUCAUUUAUCACUCUUUUCCUGCACUGGAUGCAUUAUGACCCGACUUACCACAUACAAGACAAUAUAUUUUCUUUUUAAAGAUGGAAUUAUUAAAUUUAGAUUGGUAAUCAGGUUUCUUAUUUUCGUACAUGUUAUUUCAUUUGUGCACUUUUCCUCGUAUAAGGUUUGCUCUUGUAGCUAGCUCUUUACCUUUUGCAGUUUUAAGUUCCCUCCUGUUUGUAUUUUUAAUCUUCGAGAUGUCAGAAAAAGAUUUGGCGUAUAGAGCAGUAGACAGUGCAAAAGCAGAGACAGUGAUAACAUUUGGUUUCAUUUGUGUAAAGAUAAGUCCUUAAAAUUGUUGAAAAAAUAAAAUAAAAUAAUAAAAUCUGAGUCGUGUUGAACACUGUACUUAAUGAUUUAUUUUAUAAUCCAUCAAGUUUAAAUAUAUUCUUAUGAAAUUUAAAUUUUAGAAUUAGUAUAAUAAGAAUUUAUCUCUAAUUUAUAAUCCAAUAUAAAAUAUAAAGAAUAAAAAAUAAUAUAGAAAAAUAGAAUUUGUUAUUUUUUAAAAAUAAAAGAAAUAGUGAAAAAACCGUUAUAUAUGAUUAUAAAAAUUUUGAAAUAAUAUAAUAAAAUCAUAAUGAAGAAAUUUAAUAUUAUAUUUAAAUUUUAUAAAUAAAAUAUUUAAUAAUCAUAAAAUUUGCACCCAUUAUAAUUAUAAAAUUUUUAAUAAUUAUAAAAUUUUUUAAAAUUUAAACUAAUUUUAUAACAUUUUCAUGGGAGUGCUAGGUAGAGAAUUAAACACCGCGACUCAUGGGUCCAAGCAUUUCUUUUUUUCUUUUUGUUUUUGUUUUGACAUGAUGAUUAGGUAGCUACCGACGCAAUGUUGACAAUUAAUUAAACAGCAGGCCAACUUAAUAAUGUUUGUUAUUAUGGGAUAAUUAUUAAAAUAAUAUUUUUUUCAAAAAUUAUUUAUAUGAAAAUAAUUUAUAAAAGUAAUGUUUGCUCUAGAAAAUAUUAAUUAAUUUAGCAUUUUUAAAAAACAUUGAAAACGCUAAUGAAGUUAUACUCAUGAAAACGCCAAUGAAUGGUAAAUGAAAAUGGCAGCGAUGUCAGAUAUUCUGUGAGAAAUGAUUUUGUUGAAAAAUUAUUAUUAAAUCUUUAUAUAUUACUAAAACUAAUUGAAUAAUUUUUAUUAUAAAAAUAAAAAUAAAGCUUCAACAUUCAUAUUUAUAUUUUUAAAUUCAUGUAAUUUUAAUUAUUUAUAUUAUUUAGUUGAUAUAAUUUUAAUAAUUUAUAUUAUUUAUUAAUUUUGAUCAAAUUUAAUAGAUUUAAAUUAUUAAAUAUAUAAUUAUAUAAAAUUAAUUAUAGUUUUUUCAACUAUAAUUAUAUUAAAUUUAAACUGUAUUGAAAAUUAAUUAUAAUCCUUUAAAAAAUUAAAACGUAUUGAAAAAUUAAUUUUAUAUAAUUAUAUAAAAUUAAUUAUAAUUCUCUGAUCAGUAAUUAUGCUAAACUAAAACUAUAUUCAAAAAUAAUUUUAUGUAAUUAUAUAAAAUUAUUUAUAAUUAUUCUGUAAUUGUACUAAAUUAAAACUGUAUCAAACAUUAAUUUUAUAUAAAUAUAUAAAAUUAAUUAUAGUUAUUUAAAUGGUAAUUAUAUUAAACUGAAAUAAUAUCAAAAAAUUAAUAUUAUAUAAUUAUAUAAAACUAAUUAUUGUUAUCCUACUUGUAAUUGUACUAAAUUAGAUUCAUUUCAAAAAAUUAAUUUUAUCUAAUUAUAUAAAAUUAAUUAUAGUUCUCUAAACCGUAAUCGUAUUAAUUAAGAACCGGAUCAAAAAUCAAUUUUAUACAAUUAUAUAAAAUUAACUAUAAUUCUCUAAUCUAUAAAUGUACGAACCAAAAUAGUAUUAAAAAUUAAUUUUAUAUAAUUAUAUUUUCUGAACUGUAAUUAUACUAAACUGGAACGAUAUCAAAAAAUUAAUUUUAUAUAAAUUAUAAAAUUAAUUAUAGUUCUCAUUGUUGUAAUUAUAAUAAAUUAAAACCAUACUUUAAAAUUUAAUUUUAUACAAUUAUAUAGAAUUAUUUAUAGUGUUUUUUAAAGUAAAACUACUAAUUGUAUCGUCAAACAGAGAGACGACCAUACCUAAUAAAUUCUCUAACUAAAAUAUGAGCAGUUAAAAUAGCAUGACGACCCAUCUACCAGAAAUAUUUCAGAAACCCACAAUAACUAGUAAAUUUCCAUUCAACAUUACCUUCCGAAAUAACCAAAUCAAUAAAAUUUAAAGAAAAGUCAACCAUAGAAACAAACAUAUGACUCUUCCAUAUUAACGAAAUGUCUCCUCCUAAUUUUUGUCUAUUGACUGAGAAACAACCAUCAAAAUAUAAAAGAUUACAAAAAAAUUCCAUCGAUAACUAAGAGCUUUUGUUUCCAUUAAAAAUAAAAUGUCCGAUUUAUAUCUACUAACCAAAUCCUUUAAUACAUUAACUGUCCGGAAAUUACCGACUUCUCGACAGUUUCAACACAAGACGAUACGAUCAUUGUUUUCGGCUAUCCUGAUCUUUGACGGGAUAAAUAGCUUUGAUAAUGCCUAUUCGAAAUGCGAAUCAUAGUGUUCAUUCUUAUGAAAAUAGAAAUGAAAAGUAAGAUACUUUUUCUCGAAAUAUGGACAAAUGAAAGUUUAACUCCUAAAGAAGCACUUCACGAAACCUCCCAGUAAUUUGAUUUAUUUUUUUAUUCUUUUUCUACAUGCAGAAAAAAAAAAUCUUACAUUUAAAAAUAGAAAAAAAUCAACACAAGGUUACUUUACCCUUUUUUAUUUUCAUGAUAAAUUAAUUAAAUUAAGAAAAAAUUAAAAAAAAUAGUAUUGAAAUACAUUUUUAUUAUGAAAAAUUUAGAUUUAAAAAAGAAAAUACAAGAGACUCGAUUUACAAAGAAACCAUAGAGAAAAUUUUAAAUUAAAAUUAUUUAUAGUUUAAAAAUUAUACUAAAUUAAAAUUGUAUAAAAAGUUAAUUUUAUACAAUUAUAUAAAAUUAAUUAUAUUUUUUCUAAUUUAUUAAAUUAGAAUCAUAUUAAAAAAUUAAUUUUAUAUAAUUAUAUAAAAUUAAUUAUAAUUCUGAAUUGUAAUUAUACUAAACUGAAAUUGUAUAGAAAAAAUUAAAUUUACACAAUUAUAUAAAAUUAAUUAUAAUUUUUCAGACGGUAAUUAUACUAAAUUGGAACUGUAUGAAAAAUUAAUUAAAUAUAAUUCUUUUAACUGUAGUUGUACUAAACUGGAAUCAUAUUAAAAAAAAUAAUUUUAUAUAAUUAUAUAUUUAAUAAUUUAAAUCUAUUGAUUUUGUAAUUGUAUCAAACUGGAAUCAUAUUAAAAAUUAAUUUUAUAUAAUUAUAUAUUUAAUAAUUUAAAUCUAAUGAAUUUAAUUAAAAUUAAUAAAUAAUAUAAAUAAUUAAAAUUACGAGCUUAAUGAAAAAUUUUAAUUUUAUAAAAUAUUUAAAAUUUUGAUUGAUAUUUUAAUAAAUAAGAAAUAACCAAUUAAUUUUAGUGAUACAUAAGGACUUAAUAAUAAUUUUUGGACAAAAUCAUUCUAUCAAUAAACGGCUGAUUCUCAUUGCCACUGAAAAUAUCAACUAGUUAGUCAACUAUCUAAUUAAUAAUUUUUGGACUUAAAUUUCUCUAUCCAUCUGAAUUAGGGUUUUCUAUCUAUAGUUUCGUUAGUCAACUAGUUAAAAAAGAGAAUAAAUAUUUCAAACACUUAAAACACUUCUAUGAACACUUAAAUUCUUUAUAUUGUAUAAAUUACACUUUGAUCCUAAACUUAACGAACUAGACUUCCUAAACUCAAGUAGUGAGUCAAACAUGCUUUUGAGAAAUGAAAACAAAUAACAUGGUUGGAAAUGGACAUACGAGCAAUCAGCUCUCACUGGGAGGCUGAUUGUUUCAUGUGAAAAAUGACUCCAAAGUGCAAAUCAAUAACAUACCCAUUCACAGUAGAUUAAAGGAAGACCAGGUAAGGACCCAGCAGGGACUUCACAACUGGCAAUGGAAUGGCAGCAGCUUCAUCAACCACCAGUAGUUCCACUUGGGAGAGCUUUUGAUGUUCAUGUGGCUGUAUAUACUGUAUAAAAAAAAACAACACAAAAAUAUAAGCAAUUAAACACGUGUGGAGAUAUGCUCGUUAAAACAGAACAGGUAUACACAUAAAAUAUUUAUUAAAAAGAACAGAACAAGAAGAAAAGUUCUCUUAACAAAAAAGCUGAACAAAAUCCGGAUAUUCAUAGCACAAAACAUAGAUGGUUAGAAAUAGAUGUUAUUUCCUGCAAGGUAUGCUAAAUGGUAUUUCCUUCAAAGGAAAAUUUUAACUGUUAUUUCCUCAAAAAAGAAAGCUAAAGAUUAUAGCUUUUUCACUGAACUUAUAAGCUGAGCUAACUGCAUUGUCAGCCCACAGGACUGCAAAUGGGCUCCAUUUCUUCAUCAAUCAUAAAACAUGUGAACAUGUCAGAUCACAGAAUAAUGAUUACAUGGUCAACUGAUAUGCUAUCACAAUGUUAUGAAAUUCAUGAAGUAUAUUGCUUAAUUUACAUAUGUUGAAGAAGAAGGAAACACGGUUAUAAUAUAUCGCUGGUUUUAGACCACAUCAAAUAGAAAAGUGCAACUGUAAAAAUUGCAGAAAAGAAAAAGCAUGUUAAUUAGAGUGUAAAUGGAUGACAUAGUAUAAUUAAGGGAAUAUUGCAUGCCUUCCAAAAAGAGAGGGAGAAAAUUGUACCUUAUAUUCAAGUGCAUCAAAACCCUUGCAAAUGAACUCAAACAAAGUUUCAAAUUUUCAGGGCUUGGUGCAGUUACAAAUAUAUUUGAAUACCUAUAAAGGUGAUUUUUCUCAUUAGAAUAAUAGUAAAGAGAAGCGUAAUUUUUAAAAAUAAAAGUAAAAAGAAGAAAGAAUUAACAGACACUCGCAUGCAUACAUGAAGUAUGAAAAGUAUAGAAUUUAACAAUUUCAUUAUCCUGCUGCUAUGGCUCCAGCAACUGCUUAACCAAGUGCAGCAGAUUUUCCACGGCCACGAGCAGCAAGCAAAGCAAGGGUACUACGUAGUGUCUUAUCCAAAAUUGCAUCAAGAAAUGUGAUGACAGCUUUUCCCUGUUCAAAGAUAAAAAGUUUUUAUGUGCCAUUGACACCAUUUUAAGUCCCAGUCACAUCAGUUUAAAAUAGAGAGAGAGUGUGUGAACAAAAAUCUAGAUACUUGCCAAGGCUCUACCUGAUCUAGUGUGCAACACUUUUUUUAUCAAAGGACCAACAGGAAAAUCAUCAUGCAAUUGUUCUUUCAAAUUCUUCAGGUCUCGUUCUGCUUCUGAAAGACCUUCUGCGUCCUUCAAUCCAGGGGGAAAAAAUAAGUAUGCAAAGUUGAAUACUUUAUACAUCAACUAAAGAUAUCAACUAAUCAUAAUAAGAAAAUCUCACUAGAAAAGGUUAGACAAUACGAAGCUUCACUUAAAUUCUUGGCCAUGAUAGUAUAAUAAAGGAGAAAAUUGCAAUUCACAAUAAACAAUGAAAGAAUACACAAUGAAAGGAUUUUGAAAAAUUUCCACAUCACUAACUGCAUGUCUGUAAUUCUAAAAUUGACAAAAAGAAUUGUUACCUCUUUAACUGGAACUGGAGUAAUUGACCUUAUAUGAGAUGAAAUUGGUAAAGCAUUAAGUUCAUCAUCCAUAACCACACAAGCUUUGCAUGAAGCAAGUGAUAGUAGGAAUCGCUCGUUGAAGCGCCCAGCAGCCUCAGAGUGAGAUUCAGUACGAAACCUCUCUUGGAAAUCCUGCAAUAAGCAAACUUCUAGUAAAGAUUUACGCUUAUUGUUCAAGUAAGUACUUGUUAGCAGAGAUUCACACAUAAAGAAAGAAAAAUAUUGAAAUGCAAGACUGCUAAACAUGGCAGUUGAGAAAUUCUUGUUUUUUUUGCAACAUGAUUGAGUUGCUGCCAAGGUUGUGGAUUGAGUCUGCCAUAUUCUCCACUUAGUUAGUUGUUUUUUCCAUGUUCCCCAAUUAAGUAGUGGUCUUUAAUAAUUUCUUAAUUAUAGCAGGGUGUUCCUCCAUGUUGAGUUCAUGAUUUUCAGCUUCCUUGUUUGUAGCCCUUUAGUAUUUAAGUUUAGCAAAUCAAUAAAUGAGACAUGUUCAAAAUUGUCCAAAGUUGUUAAGUACUAAGGCUCAAGUGAUUUUCACGUUCUCUCUUAAUGAGCUUGUACAACCUUCUAUUUUUUCCACUCAAUUGUCCUAUAACCAGAUCCUAUUCUAGAGACCAUAUUAGUACUUAAGUAUAAUUUAUGAAGAACAGGCCAUUUAGUGAAUCUUAUCUCAAAAUUAUAAGAUUUACAAUGGUCACAACUAUAAUUUGAUAUUCAUCACCAGUAAAAUUGUAAGAGAUGCAUUCUUCAACACCAACAUAGUUUCAUAUCUCAAGCAUGCUCAACUAUGCAACUACUGGUCGACCACUCCAUAACAUAACAAGCAAAAAUGUGAAAAGAUGAGUAAAACUUAAAUAUGAACUUGCACAUACAAGAUGGAAAUUUUGUCUACCAAGUCAACCGUGUGUAGCAGAACAACAUUCUACAGGAUACUUAAUUCAUUGAGAAUUUCCUUUUAGUAUUUCUCCCUUUUAUAAGGUUCAGAAUUUUGUAGGUAUUAUCCAAAGACAACAUUUCAAAGUCAUUUGGAUAAAAUAAAUAUACAAAUAGACCUAAAAAAUAAUAGUAGAAAGUAUAUAAGGACUGGAUAUAAAUAAUAAAAUAAAGGCCCAAACAAAAAACUAUUUAGCUACACUGGAUAUGAAUUUAUACCAUGACCAUGGUGUAAAGACUGGUCAGUGAAGAGAGAGACCGUAACAGCAAGACAAUCAAUCCACCACCUUCUACCGUAUCUAUUGUUCUGGCCAAAAGAUUUGGAGUCAAAGCCUCAAAGUCCUACAAUAAAGGAAACAUAUCAAUAUAAUCAAAAUAGAAGAGACCACAAUAAACAGUUAUUAUGAGAUAUUUGCAUUUGCAAAAGCUAAUAAAAAGCAAAUGGAAAAUAAUCACCUGCAAUAUGCACAUUCCAAAAGUAUUUCCAAGUAUUCUUUCAGAAUCUUUAUACAAGCAAUAGGUUAAUCCUCCAGUUUCAACAAAAAGUGAAAAAGGAUCAACUUUCCCAGGAUCCAACAGUCCCCUCUGCAUUAGCUUCUUUAUCUGCUUCGCUCUCUUUUUCUUGUGACUACACAACCAUAACGACCCCAAUCAUUAUUAAUAAUUAUAUUUAUCAAUUAACUUCAAAACUAAGAAAAACUAUAUCAUAAACAUUGCUACGUCUAUAAUUCAAAACUUUAGCACGUAAAGACUCUGGCUUGAAAACAUUUUAAAAAUAAACAAACAACAAAAAAAACACUUCUAAAGAUCAAGAAUAAACCUGCUAAGUUCAAGUUUGUCUUUGUAGCACCAUAGGACAGUUGGCCUGGAUUUGACCACUGCCUUGCUUAGCAUGUAGUGAAGGUUCACAAUCUGCAUAAAAUAAAAAUCUUAGCAAGUAAAUAAAUUUCCCAGAACCAAUUGGAAAGCACAUCUCCAAAACCCCUUAAAAUUUUCAAUACAAAAACCAAAUUCCAAGCUCCAUAAUUUGGCAGACUUGGAACAUGCAGGAGAUGAGUUAGUAAACCAAAGGAAUGGAUUGCCUGGUCGCGCGACUUGUCACCAAUGAUGACGAACAUAGAGCGGUGCCUCAAUUUGACGCCAUUUUGAAUGAGAGUUCUGAUCCGCUCGUCCACCUUCUUUCUCAUUUUCUUCUUCCUCUCUCUUCACCUCAGGAAGCAAGAGAAGCGAAGCUUAAGCUUUGGCCUGAACCGAUGGCGGUUAAAUUCUUAAGGUUUAUGGCGGUUAAAUUCGACCACUGAACCGAUGCUAAGGCAGACGUUCAUUCUAUGAACCGGGUUCUAUUGAACCGGAUCCGUUUGCUGAGACCCGAGGAGUGAGGGACACUGAGGGAAGACAUAUCUCUUUAAAAAAUGCAGUACUCUUUUUAUUUUAUUUUACUUAAAAAAAUAUGAUUUGAUUUUAAUAAUAAUGUUAUUAUAUUUACUAAAUUUUAAAAUUAUAAAUUUAACUCUGAUAUUAAAUAUAAGUUCCAACAUUUAACAUUAUAUUAAAAGUUUAAUAAACUAUCAAUAGAGGUGGAACUCUAAUUCGUUAUAGUAUAACAUGCCAAAUACUAUAUUUCAAAGGGAUCCGAGUAGAAUGCUCAUACAAACUAGGAAAUAACUUACUAAUUAAAGCAUAAUGCAAAGCACAAUUAAAAUUCUUAAGGUUCUCAAAUAUACUGCUUAGCCAUGAGGCAAAGAGCAUUUUUCUUGUGCAUUGUAAGGCCUGGUACCACUUCCAUGUCCAAGUCUUCAUUGCUCAUUCCAAAAGGCAUCUCCCAAUCAAAUUUGUAAAGCAAAUUAGCAAGAGCUAACUCCACUGUUGCAAGUGCUAUACUUACACCAGGACACAUUCUUCUCCCACCUCCAAAUGGGAUUAGCUCAAAAUUUUGUCCUUUCAAGUCAACAGAACUGUUGAUGAAUCUCUCAGGACAGAACUCUUGUGCAUUUUCCCAAACUUGUGGGUCUCUUCCAAUUGCAUAUACAUUCACAUAAACUGUAG
rnacentral:lncRNA from 1 species